rnacentral:rRNA from 1 species
UACAGAGGUGGCAAGCGUUGUUCGGAAUUACUGGGCGUAAAGGGCGCGUAGGCGGUUCGGUAAGUCCUGUGUGAAAUCCCUCGGCUCAACUGAGGAACUGCACGGGAGACUGCCGGGCUUGAGUUCGGGAGAGGGAAGCGGAAUUCCGGGUGUAGCGGUGAAAUGCGUAGAGAUCUGGAGGAACACCGAUGGCGAAGGCAGCCCCCUGGGCUAACACUGACGCUCAUGCACGAAAGCGUGGGGAGCAAACAGG